rnacentral:rRNA from 1 species
AGAAUCAACGCUGGCGGCGUGCCUCAGACAUGCAAGUCGAACGCGAAAGUCCCCUUCGGGGGACAAGUAGAGUGGCGCACGGGUGAGUAACACGUAGGUAAUCUACCUUCGGAUGGGGAAUAACAACCGGAAACUGUUGCUAAUACCGCAUAAUGCAGCGGCACCUAAUGGUGACAGUUGUUAAAGCGGGGGAUCGAAAGACCUCGCGUCUGAAGAGGAGCCUGCGGCGGAUUAGCUAGUUGGUAGGGUAACGGCCUACCAAGGCGACGAUCC